rnacentral:rRNA from 1 species
AAUCAACGCUGGCGGCGUGCCUCAGACAUGCAAGUCGAACGCGAAAGUCCCCUUCGGGGGACAAGUAGAGUGGCGCACGGGUGAGUAACACGUAGGUAAUCCACCUUCGGAUGGGGAAGUAACAACCGGAAACGGUUGCUAAUACCGCAUAAUGCAGCGGCACCUAAUAGGUGACAGUUGUUAAAGACGGGGGAGUCGAAAGACCUCGCGUCUGAAGAGGAGCCUGCGGCGGAUUAGCUAGUUGGUAAGGUAACGGCUUACCAAGGCGACGAUCCGUAGCCGGCCUGAGAGGGCGGUCGGCCACACUGACACUGACAUACGGGUCAGACUCCUACGGGAGGCAGCAGUCGGGAAUUUUGGGUCGAAUGGCGAAGACCUGACCAGCAACGCCGCGUGAAGGAUGAAAUCCCU